rnacentral:rRNA from 1 species
CCUACGGGAGGCAGCAGUAAGGAAUAUUGGUCAAUGGACGAAAGUCUGAACCAGCCAUGCCGCGUGAAGGAUUAAGGCCCUCUGGGUUGUAAACUUCUUUUAUCUGGGACGAAAAAAGGGUAUUCUUACUCACUUGACGGUACCAGAGGAAUAAGCACCGGCUAACUCCGUGCCAGCAGCCGCGGUAAUACGGAGGGUGCAAGCGUUAUCCGGAUUUACUGGGUUUAAAGGGUGCGUAGGUGGGUCUGUAAGUCAGUGGUGAAAUCUCCGAGCUUAACUCGGAAACUGCCAUUGAUACUAUAGAUCUUGAAUUAUCUGGAGGUAAGCGGAAUAUGUCAUGUAGCGGUGAAAUGCUUAGAUAUGACAUAGAACACCAAUUGCGAAGGCAGCUUACUACGGAUAUAUUGACACUGAGGCACGAAAGCGUGGGGAUCAAACAGGAUUAGAUACCCUGGUAGUCCACGCCCUAAACGAUGGAUACUCGACAUCANACGAUACACUGUUGGUGUCUGAGNGAAGACGAUUAAGUAGUCCGACCGUCGGAGGUACG